CAGAAAUUAGAGAAGGAAAGAAGAGAAUUCUGUAAUUUUGGAUCCCGAAUUCAGCCAUGGUGUUAAGCUCUAGCAAGUAGAAGAAAAGUUCAGUGUCUAAUGUAGUUCAAGGAGGAGGACGAGGAGGAGGAGGACAUGGCCAAAGCUCAGUGCUGCCCACGUAAGUACUUUCACGAUCUUGGUUUUGUAUCUAAAAAUUUCUUUGCUUUUGGGGGUUUCCCAAUUUGUACAAAAU
rnacentral:misc_RNA from 1 species